GUAUCCUGACCGUGCUAAGGUAGCAUAAUAGCUUGCCUUUUAAUUAAAGGCUUGUAUGAACGAACCAACGAGAGUUUGACUGUCUCCUAGAUAAACACGAAACUUAACCUUUAUGUGAAAAGGCAUAAAUUAAACUAAAAGACAAAAAGACCCUGUCGAGCUUAAUUGUCAACCCCCCCCAAAAAAAGUCUUUUACUCUUUCUGGGAAAUAAAACAAUUUAGUUGGGGCAACAAGGGAACACCCAAACCUUCCCUUAUAAAAUUUAUCCUAAUUUAUAGACCCCCCAAUCGGGCCAAAAGAUAAAAGCUACCGCAGGGAUAACAGGUUAAUUUUUCUCGAGAGUACACAUUAACAGAAAAGAUUGGCACCUCGAUGUUGGCUUAGGA
rnacentral:rRNA from 1 species